rnacentral:rRNA from 1 species
GACGAACGCUGGCGGCGUGCUUAACACAUGCAAGUCGAACGGAAAGGCCCUGCUUUUGUGGGGUGCUCGAGUGGCGAACGGGUGAGUAACACGUGAGUAACCUGCCCUUGACUUUGGGAUAACUUCAGGAAACUGGGGCUAAUACCGGAUAGGAGCUCCUGCUGCAUGGUGGGGGUUGGAAAGUUUCGGCGGUUGGGGAUGGACUCGCGGCUUAUCAGCUUGUUGGUGGGGUAGUGGCUUACCAAGGCUUUGACGGGUAGCCGGCCUGAGAGGGUGACCGGCCACCUUGGGACUGAGGUACGGCCCAGACUCCUACGGGGGGCAGCAGUGGGGGAUAUUGCACAAUGGGCGGAAGCCUGACGCAGCACCGCCGCGUGCGGGAUGACGGCCUUCGGGUUGUAAACCGCUUUCGCCUGUGACGAAGCGUGGGUGACGGUAAUGGGUAAAGAAGCACCGGCUAACUACGUG